UUGCCAAUGCCUCCUGGACCC
rnacentral:siRNA from 1 species